CCCUUAGAUGUUCUGGGCCGCACGCGCGCUACACUGACGAAUGCAACGAGCUUAUAACCUUGGCCGAAAGGUCUGGGUAAUCUCCAAAUUUCGUCGUGAUGGGGAUAGAUUAUUGCAAUUAUUAAUCUUCAACGAGGAAUGCCUAGUAAGCGCAAGUCAUCAGCUUGCGUUGAUUGCGUCCCUGCCCUUUGUACACACCGCCCGUCGCUCCUACCGAUUGAAUGGUCCGGUGAAGCGCUCGGACCGCGGCCUCUUGACGGUUUUCCGUCGAUUGGCUGUGGGAAGUUCGUUAAACCUUAUCAUUUAGAGGAAGGAGAAGUCGUAACA
rnacentral:rRNA from 1 species